GUUAACAUUUCUGGCACCCCUGGUGCUCUCCGUGGAUGCCGGGUGAGUCACCAAGGAGGCGUCCCCCUAGCGAAGGUCAGGGGCAGGCCUGGAGGCGGGACGGCUUGCCUCAGCACUGCCAAGUCCCUAAUAGAGGCCUGGCGUGGGGCUCGCGGCCAGCAGCCCCGAGGGUGGGGAUUUCAACACGGGAAACUUCAGAGGACAGAAGCAUUCAGACCGUAACGGUGUGGUGAGGCCCGCAGAUCAGGGGACAGCAACCACGGCUGGAAAGUUAUAAUCAGGACCCCCAAGAGGAGGUGCCACCCCACGCAGGCCAACCAGGGCCACAGAGGAAGCGCCAGGAAGGCCUCUCACCCAGCCCUGAAGCUUCCAGCUCGCUGAUCCUGGACUUGCCAGCCUCCAGCUCUGCGACAAUGACAUUCUGUUCUUCAUAAGCCCCUGUCGGGGACACUCCGCUUCGGUGGUCUGAAUGAAUGGCCAUUUGCAUCCUCUAGGAACUGGCCAGCCCUGGGGGCCCCGGGUCUCUCCAGGGUCGGCAAGGCCUCCGGAUAUCAAAACAUGAGAAAAGACAGAAAACGCAGGGUCUGAUUAACAGGGUGUUUUUGGCUCAUGGCUUGGGAGAGCGGAGGACCUGCCUGUAACAGAGUCCCCACAGCAGGGGGCGGGAGGCUCGGGUCCUCCACACAUGGUCUCUCCGUGGGGCUGCGGGGGUGCCUGUACAGCUCGCACCUGGAUCCCUGCAGCGUGCGUGACCCCAGAGCGGCAGCCAGGAGCCAUAGGGACUUUUUACGACCUUGUCUCUGAAAUUUCACACCAUCCCCUCUGCCGGCUUCUCUGUGUUAGAGGCCCGGCCGGCCGCGGGUCCGGCCCCCCGGGGGGAGGGUGACUGAGCUCCACCUCUUGCGGGGAGGAGAAAGGACCCGUGGUUAUAUUUCAAAGCCACCUCAGGGGCUGACCAGGCCCUAUUUCCGCUCCCCUCUCGUCCAAGACCCUCUGCCCCAUCCCUUGCUUUCUAACCAAAGGCUCAGGUCAGAAGCACCAAGGAAGGUUGCUUCCCAUCCAGAUGCCCAGGACACACUGUCAGACCGUGAGAACCACCCUGGGGUCACGCCCAAGUCUGCCCUGCCCCCCGGGGGCCGCGCACAGGGCAUCUGCACGGGCUCCUUGAGUCGCUUUCUUGGUCUGCCGUGACCUUGGUCCACAUCAUCUCGGCAACACUUUACUCCCGUCCUCAGCCAGCAUCAAUGUCCCCUGCACCAUGAACCCCUCCCAGAGCCCUUGUCCAGCACAAGGACCUGCUCCGUCUCGGUGUCCCAGGAUCCCUCUGGCCACACCCCAUGAGGCCUGGAGCACGGGUGAUAGCAGGGAGGGUGUGCUUUUCUUUAUAGCUGGGCCGGAGGCCCUCAAAGGGAGACACAGACACGUCUACACUCGCGUCUGCACCAUCUGUCCCCGGGGAAUGGCCCCCUUAUUCUGGCCAAAUGAACGACUGAGGGAAAAGCGAGAGGUCAGUCUCUGGGGACAUUCGGGGAAAGGGCAGGUUUCCCUCCCACAUGUGAGCUGCGUCGUCGGAACAGCCAACCUCGUACAGCCGUGGGCUUCUGUAGAGACCACACACGAACCCUCCUGGCCGUGGCCGGCUCUGACGCAUGGUGUUUGCCCCUGGUCCUACUUGAGCUGGGCUCCCUUCUCUCGGGGACUUGACCUCCGUGUCCUCCGGCUUGACUCAGCGUCCCUAGGCCCGCGCCGGUCUUCCCUGCAUGACCCAUCAUCCCCGGCGGCGUCGUACGUGGUCGGACCAUCGCCCGUACUCGUCUCUCUGCUGCUCACCAGCUCCUGAGAGCGGGGCUGGGGCUUCCGCCCCUGGUCUCCGUGGCUUUGACACAAGCAUCCAGGAGCCGUGUGUGUGAGCUGAUGGGUGUUUCCAGCACAUUCACCUCUCGGAGCAACACAUCCUAUCCCUGUACAAAGACUGAUCCCAACUUCUUAAAGUUCUCGACAUUUUUCAAGAAGGGCAGAGAUGCGAGUUGUCCAACAUGCAGGGGAUAAUGUCCCGCUGUACCUAGAAUGGUGGCCCCUUGUCGCUGUCAUGAGUUCAGUUCGUGGGUGCCACUAGGAACGCUGCAGGAGCCCGGGAGAGCCCAGGGCCCAGCCCAUGUGUCUCUUUGAAGAGGGACCUGUGUUCUAGGUCCCCCAGUCAGCCACAUCACACUACAAGUCAGGCAGGGCAGGGCUGUCACAAGGAAUGGAGGUCCUUACUCAGGCCAUAACUGGACCCUUUUCUGUCCUUCCCUCCAUCCUGGCCUCUAUUUGGCCCGAGGAAAAGCAGUCUAGGGGAUACGGGCAGCGUCUACACGUACAAGGAGGAUAUCAUAGCAAAUCGUGAGUAGAUGUGCUCUGGGCUCCGCAGGCCCUGGCGAGCCCCAAAACCCACGGGAAGGGCAAGGCUGGUCAACGCAAGAAAAACAUUCUGGAAACACGAUGGGAUGCGUGAUGAUUUAGGCUGCCUCGUACCUGAACGUUCCUGAAACGUUCAGCAUUUCAGUAGACGCUACCUGCAGAGCAUCCGUCCACCGGCAGACCCACAGGGCAGCUGAGGAGAAGCAACCGCGUCUGAUCAAGGUUCUCAAAUUCGUGCAAAUGGCGGACUGUAUAGGGUAUCACGGGGGUUGGAAUAGGACACGUAAUCUACACCCACAUGAAAUACGCCUACAUGCCGUGCCCCCGUGUGUCUGCUCACCGCAGGAGCACACACGUCCGUGGAAGGUGCAGUGUUCAUGGAAAAGCCGCAGCAGGCCCCAAAGAUGUACGGGGAUGGAGAAACUCUAGGGAA